rnacentral:rRNA from 1 species
UACAGAGGUCUCAAGCGUUGUUCGGAUUCAUUGGGCGUAAAGGGUGCGUAGGUGGCGUGGUAAGUCGGAUGUGAAAUCCCGGGGCUCAACCCCGGAACUGCACUCGAUACUGCCAUGCUAGAGUACUGGAGAGGAGAUUGGAAUUUACGGUGUAGCAGUGAAAUGCGUAGAUAUCGUAAGGAAGACCAGUGGCGAAGGCGGAUCUCUGGACAGUUACUGACACUGAGGCACGAAGGCCAGGGGAGCAAACGGG